rnacentral:rRNA from 1 species
UGAACGCUGGCGGCGUGCUUAACACAUGCAAGUCGAACGAACCUUCGGGUUAGUGGCGGACGGGUGAGUAACGCGUGAGAAUCUGCCCUCAGGAGGGGGAUAACGGUUGGAAACGACCGCUAAUACCCCAUAUGCCUACUGGUGAAAUGAAUUUCGCCUGAGGAUGAGCUCGCGUCUGAUUAGCUAGUUGGUGAGGUAAUGGCUCACCAAGGCUUCGAUCAGUAGCUGGUCUGAGAGGAUGAUCAGCCACACUGGGACUGAGACACGGCCCAGACUCCUACGGGAGGCAGCAGUGGGGAAUUUUCCGCAAUGGGCGAAAGCCUGACGGAGCAACGCCGCGUGAGGGACGAAGGCCUCUGGGCUGUAAACCUCUUUUCUCAAGGAAGAAGAUAUGACGGUACUGAGGAAUAAGCCACGGCUAAU